ensembl:lncRNA
CUUUCUUUACCUUCACUUUGGCUGGCUUAGCCUUCUCCUUCACAGGUUCUGCUUUAGCCUUCUCCUUCACAGGUUCUGGCUUAGCUUUCUCCUUUACAGCUUCUGGCUUAGCCUUCUCCUUUACAGCUUCUGGCUUACCCUUCUUUACAGCUUCUGGCUUAGUCUUCUUUACAGGGGUGGGUUCUGCUUUAGCCUUCUCCUUUGCAGGUUCUGGCUUAGCUUUCUCCUUUACAGCUUCUUGCUUAGCUUUUUCCUUUACAGCUUCUUGCUUAGCUUUCUCCUUUGCAGGUUCUGGCUUAGCUUUCUCCUUCACAGGUUCUGGUUUAGCUUUCUCCUUUACAGGGACGGGUUCUGCUUUAGCCUUCUCCUUCACAGGUUCUGCUUUAGCCUUCUCCUUCACAGGUUCUGCUUUAGCCUUCUCCUUUGCAGGGUCUGGUUUAGCUUCAUCCUUUACAGGUGCAGGUUCUGGCUUAGCCUUCCUUACAGGGGUGGGUUCUGCUUUAGCCUUCUCCUUUGCAGGUUCUGGCCUAGCCUUCUCUUUUACAGAUUCUGGACUAGCUUUCUCCUUCACAGGUUCUGCUUUAGCCUUCUCCUUCACAGGGGUGGGUUCUAGCUUAGCAUUCUCCUUCACAGGUACAGGCUUAGCCUUUUCUUUCAAAGGUGCAGCCUUGUCUUCCUCCUUCACAGGUACAGGCUUAACCUUUUCUUUCAAAGGUGCAGCCUUGUCUUCCUCCUUCACAGGUACAGGCUUAGCCUUUUCUUUCAAAGGUGCAGCCUUGUCUUCCUCCUUCACAGGUACAGGCUUAGCCUUUUCUUUCAAAGGUGCAGCCUUGUCUUCCUCCUUCACAGGUACAGGCUUAGCCUUUUCUUUCAAAGGUGCAGCCUUAUCUUCCUCCUUCACAGGUACAGGCUUAGCUUUUUCUUUCAAAGGUGCAGCCUUGUCUUCCUCCUUCACAGGAACAGGCUUAGCUUUUUCUUUAGUUGGUUCUGGUCUAGCUUUCGCUUUAGGGAGCUCUGGCUUAACUUUCUCCUUAGCAGGCUCUGGCUUGGCUUUUUCCUUUACAGGCUCAGGCUUUGCUUUCUCCUUCAUGGUUUCUGGUUUAGCUUUUUCCUUAACAGCUUCUGGCUUUACCUUCUCUUUAGCAGGUUCUUUUUUAGCUUUGUCCUUCACAGGUUCUGCCUCAGCUUUCUCCUUCAUGGGUACUGGCUUAGCUUUUUCUUUUGCAGGUGCAGGUUCUGGUUUAGUCUUCUCUACUGCUGGUUCUGGCUCAGUUUUCUCCUUCAGAGCUUCUUUCUUAGCCUUUUCUUUCAGGGUCUUCAUUUUCUCCUUCACUGGUUCUGGCUUAACCUCCUCCCUUGUGGGCACUGGCUUUGCAGUUUCUUUUACAGUUAUUUUCUUAGCGGUUUCCUUUCCAGGUUCAAGCUUAAGUUCUUCCUUUUUGGGCUUAGGCUCAGCUUUCUCCUUCACAGGUUCUGGUGUAGCCUUCUCUUUUACAAGUUCUUCCUUAGCUCUCUCCUUUUUGGGCUCUGGCUUUGCCUUCUCUGCAAUGGGCUUUGGUUUGGCCUUGUCCUUAGGAGAUUCUGGCCUAGGUUUCUCCUCCUUGAAUUCUACCAUAGCUUCUUCCUUAUCGGUAGUAGGUUCUGGUUUAGCCUUCUCCUUUACGGAUUCUAGCUUGGCUUUCUGCUUUUCUGGUUCUGGCUUAGUCUUCUCCGUAAUGGGUUCUUGCUUAGGUUUCUCUUUUUCAGAUUUUGGCUUAGCUUUUUCCUUUACCGAUGCAGGCUCUGGCUUAGCUUUUACCUUUACCGAUGCAGGCUCUGGCUUAGCUUGCACCUUUACCGAUGCAGGCUCUGGCUUAGGUUCUUCUUUUACAGAUGCAGGCUCUGGCUUAGCUUUUUCCUUUACCGAUGCAGGCUCUGGCUUAGCUUGCACCUUUACCGAUGCAGGCUCUGGCUUAGCUUUUUCCUUUACCGAUGCAGGCUCUGGCUUAGCUUUUUCCUUUACCGAUGCAGGCUCUGGCUUAGCUUGCACCUUUACCGAUGCAGGCUCUGGCUUAGCUUUUUCCUUUACCGAUGCAGGCUUAGGUUCUUCUUUUACAGGUUCUGGUUUAUCUUUUUCCUUCACAGGUACAGGUGGAGGUGCAGGUUCUGAAUU